rnacentral:rRNA from 1 species
UACGUAGGGUGCAGGCGUUAAUCGGAAUUACUGGGCGUAAAGGGCUCGUAGGCGGCCAACUAAGUCAGACGUGAAAUCCCUCGGCUUAACCGGGGAACUGCGUCUGAUACUGGAUGGCUUGAGUUUGGGAGAGGGAUGCGGAAUUCCAGGUGUAGCGGUGAAAUGCGUAGAUAUCUGGAGGAACACCGGUGGCGAAGGCGGCAUCCUGGACCAACACUGACGCUGAGUGAGCGAAAGCCAGGGGAGCAAACGGG